UGCGUAGGCGGUUUAGUAAGUCAGUGGUGAAAGCCCAUCGCUCAACGGUGGAACGGCCAUUGAUACUGCUAAACUUGAAUUAUUAGGAAGUAACUAGAAUAUGUAGUGUAGCGGUGAAAUGCUUAGAGAUUACAUGGAAUACCAAUUGCGAAGGCAGGUUACUACUAAUGGAUUGACGCUGAUGGACGAAAGCGUGGGUAGCGAACAGGAUUAGAUACCCUGGUAGUCC
rnacentral:rRNA from 1 species